AGCUACAUACAACCGCUCAGGUUCAGGUUCAAGUACAAUUAUGUCACCUGUAUUUGGCGUGACUUAAAAUUAUA
rfam:Staphylococcus sp. NAM3COL9 strain NA309 scaffold000011, whole genome shotgun sequence.